AUUGAACGCUGGCGGAAUGCUUUACACAUGCAAGUCGAGCGGCAGCACGGGGGCAACCCUGGUGGCGAGCGGCGAACGGGUGAGUAAUACAUCGGAACAUGCCCAGUCGUGGGGGAUAACACUUCGAAAGAAGUGCUAAUACCGCAUACGUCCUGAGGGGGAAAGCGGGGGAUCGCAAGACCUCGCGCGAUUGGAGUGGCCGAUGUCAGAUUAGCUAGUUGGUGGGGUAAAGGCCUACCAAGGCAACGAUCUGUAGCUGGUCUGAGAGGAUGAUCAGCCACACGGGGACUGAGACACGGCCCAGACUCCUACGGGAGGCAGCAGUGGGGAAUUUUGGACAAUGGGGGCAACCCUGAUCCAGCCAUUCCGCGUGAGUGAAGAAGGCCUUCGGGUUGUAAAGCUCUUUCGGCAGGAACGAAACGGUGAGCUCUAACAUAGCUUGCUAAUGACGGUACUGAAGAAGAAGCACCGGCUAACUACGUG
rnacentral:rRNA from 1 species